AGCCAGACUCCUACGGGAGGCAGCAGUGGGGAAUAUUGCACAAUGGGGGAAACCCUGAUGCAGCGACGCCGCGUGAGCGAUGAAGUAUUUCGGUAUGUAAAGCUCUAUCAGCAGGGAAGAAAAUGACGGUACCUGACUAAGAAGCCCCGGCUAACUACGUGCCAGCAGCCGCGGUAAUACGUAGGGGGCAAGCGUUAUCCGGAUUUACUGGGUGUAAAGGGGGCGCAGACGGCGAUGCAAGCCAGGAGUGAAAGCCCGGGGCCCAACCCCGGGACUGCUCUUGGAACUGCGCGGCUGGAGUGCAGGAGGGGCAGGCGGAAUUCCUGGUGUAGCGGUGAAAUGCGUAGAUAUAAGGAAGAACACCAGUGGCGAAGGCGGAUGACUGGACGGCAACUGACGGUGAGGCGCGAAAGCGUGGGGAGCAAACAGGAUUAGAUACCCUGGUAC
rnacentral:rRNA from 1 species